rnacentral:rRNA from 1 species
UACGUAGGGGGCUAGCGUUGUCCGGAUUUAUUGGGCGUAAAGAGCGUGUAGGCGGCCAGGUAGGUCUGGUGUGAAAACUCGAGGCUUAACCUCGAGAUGUCAUCGGAAACCAUCUGGCUAGAGUCCGGAAGAGGCGAGUGGAAUUCCUGGUGUAGCGGUGGAAUGCGCAGAUAUCAGGAGGAACACCAAUAGCGAAGGCAGCUCGCUGGGACGUUACUGACACUGAGGCGCGAAAGCGUGGGGAGCGAACAGG